AGAGUUUGAUCCUGGCUCAGAACGAACGCUGGCGGUAUGCCUAACACAUGCAAGUCGAACGAAUCCUUUCGGGGAUGAGUGGCGGACGGGUGAGUAACGCGUGAGAAUCUGCCUUUUGGUCUGGGACAACCACUGGAAACGGUGGCUAAUACCGGAUGUGCCUUUAGGGGUGAAAGAUUAAUUGCCAGAAGAGGAGCUCGCGUCUGAUUAGCUAGUUGGUGAGGUAAAGGCUCACCAAGGCAGCGAUCAGUAGCUGGUCUGAGAGGAUGACCAGCCACACUGGGACUGAGACACGGCCCAGACUCCUACGGGAGGCAGCAGUGGGGAAUUUUCCGCAAUGGGCGAAAGCCUGACGGAGCAAUACCGCGUGAGGGAGGAAGGCUCUUGGGUUGUAAACCUCUUUUAUCAGGGAAGAACCAAAUGACGGUACCUGAAGAAUCAGCAUCGGCUAACUCCGUGCCAGCAGCCGCGGUAAUACGGAGGAUGCAAGCGUUAUCCGGAAUUAUUGGGCGUAAAGCGUCCGCAGGUGGCUCAUCAAGUCUGCUGUCAAAGGCAGGGGCUUAACCCCUGAAAGGCAGUGGAAACUGGAGAGCUAGAGUGCAGUAGGGGUAGAGGGAAUUCCCGGUGUAGCGGUGAAAUGCGUAGAGAUCGGGAAGAACAUCGGUGGCGAAAGCGCUCUGCUGGACUGCAACUGACACUAAAGGACGAAAGCUAGGGGAGCGAAUGGGAUUAGAUACCCCCGUAGUCC
rnacentral:rRNA from 1 species